CAGAAUAUAUGAUGAUCUAACUUCAUCUUGAACUCUCACACUGAUUAUUUGAUGACAGUAAAGAUCUGAUAUUCUG
ensembl:snoRNA SNORD81 Small nucleolar RNA SNORD81